rnacentral:lncRNA from 1 species
CUAGGUUCUUGCUAGUUGUCUUGUUAAUGUGUAUUAGAUGGAUAAUUGAUGAAUCACAGCUACCUGAACCUUGGAGAUCUUCUUUCUCUGAAGAAAGCUGAGCACUGGUAUGGUCAUGAAACGCCCUGUACCAGAGAAGUCCUUCCUCUAAAAGUCCUUGGAAGACAAUGCUGUGUUCUGAAGACAGGGUCCAGAAAAGCAUAGGAGGAGAUUUAGAGUUUGUCCUCCGGUAGAGCCAUCAUCACCGCGAUAGCCAGCUCCAAACAACAGCACAACCCCACCUUGCCAAUGUCAGCAGACACUGAGGAGGUGCAAUUCUGUACACAUAAAGACAAGCGUGAGUGUCCUCCAAGAUAUGAGUGGGACUCCCAUGCAGAAAAAAUGAGGCCUGGUUACAACCAUGUUGUUUGGAGGAAUAAGUCAUCUUGGCAAAUAAAGAAGGGAAAAUGAGAGAAGACCACCUUCAGUAACUGUGGAACUCAAUGUGCAGCGACUAUUAGCUGUAAACAAGCAACUGGCUCCAGUCCCAUGCUGUCAGAAGUCUAUUGCAUAUUUUACUGUAGACAGUAUAAAAUAACUACCUAGUCAAGUUCAUUAAAAACAGGCUUAAAGCCCAACAUAAACCUUCUAUUUCUCAAAUGCAGAAUCUUAAAAGAAUCCUAAAGUAUCCUGCUGAAAUCCCGAUAAUUUAUUUCUUAGCAACUGAACGGAUGUUGACUGCUGGCUGGUGGGAGCUCUUUGAUGAACGCUAAAUAGCUGGGAUUUAGAACUGGCUAAAAAUAUCACGGUUUAGGUGUGAGGAAAAAUAAAUACCUAAGGUUUUAUUAACA